GGAAGCGAGCGCCGCCGGAGCACAGCCCCGCACGGCCCCGCCGCUCCCGCCGGCUCCGGGGACCGAGACUAGUACCGGAGCUAGCGGCGGCCCGGAAGCACUCGGCCCGGAAAUGACGUCACGGAGGCGGGCCGUGCGAGAAACUGGAUCGCGGCUGCGCGCUGAGCCUGAGAGGGAGCGGCGGAAGCCGGUGGCCAGCAGGGACAGUGGAGGAGGCACAAGCGGAACCCGGAAGCAAAUGAACUGGAAGUGACGCGCAGCGCUCCGCCCGCAGACGCUGGUUAGCCGAGUUGUCAUGGAAACGGGUUCCAGAGCUGGGGAGAUUGGUUUUUUCACCUGACCGGCUUUUCCCUGGUCAGGACAGUGCUUGAGAGCCCCGGCUGACGUCGAACCCCGCGAUCCUAUUUCACAGACGAAACCGCGGAGGGUAGAGAGCCAAAGCACAGGCGGAGGUCAGGCGAGACUGGAGAGAGGACCGUGGGUGUUACUACUGCGACCGAGGUUAGGGAUGCGGAUCCGGGGAUGGGGGAGUGGGGGACUCAGGAGAGGGCUCAGCGUUUAGAAGCACUUAUUGCUUUCAGAGGACCCGGGUUUGAUCCCCAGAACCCACAUGGAGGCUCACAACCAUCCAUAACACCAGUUCCAGGGGAUCUGAUGCCCUCUUUGACCUCCACGGGUACCAGUCACGCACGUGGUGCACAUACAUAGAUGCAGGCAACACUUACGUAAAAUAAAAAUAAAUCACUACAUAGCGAAA